AUGACAUGAAAACAAACAAUCACAAAACUAAUGGGCAAUAUUUAUUAAUUUAUCCACCUGUAAUAUAACAAAGCUAUAGCCAAGAUGACGCUGAAAUAUGAAGACAACACAUAGAUACCAUGGGUCAUGGGUGUACUGCGUGCUAUAGUUAUUUUGUAUAUGGUGGUUUUUAUGGUCAGUUACAUCGCUUUAGUAUCUGCUUUGAUUUAUGUGAGAAGUCUUCUACUCAGGGGCAACACAAUUCCAUUUGAAGAACAAUGUCAAGAUUAAAGGAUAAAAAAGACUGCUAAAAUUUCAUCAUAUUUAUUGCAAAAUUGUAAAGGCACUCAUUAUGGACGGUACAGUUCAUGCUAAUUUAGCAUAAUCAUUUAUUUUUACAAUUACUGCGGAAUGUUUGUAAAAUCAUGAUAAUAAAAUAAUAUGAAUUAUAUAAAA